AGUGAACGCUGGCGGUAGGCCUAACACAUGCAAGUCGAACGGCAGCACAGGAGAGCUUGCUCUCUAGGUGGCGAGUGGCGGACGGGUGAGGAAUACAUCGGAAUCUGCCCAGUCGUGGGGGAUAACGUAGGGAAACUUACGCUAAUACCGCAUACGACCUUCGGGUGAAAGAGGGGGAUCGCAAGACCUCUCGCGAUUGGAUGAGCCGAUGUCGGAUUAGCUAGUUAGCGGGGUAAUGGCCCACCAAGGCGACGAUCCGUAGCUGGUCUGAGAGGAUGAUCAGCCACACUGGAACUGAGACACGGUCCAGACUCCUACGGGAGGCAGCAGUGGGGAAUAUUGGACAAUGGGCGCAAGCCUGAUCCAGCCAUACCGCGUGGGUGAAGAAGGCCUUCGGGUUGUAAAGCCCUUUUGUUGGGAAAGAAAUCUUUCAGGCUAAUACCCUGGGAGGAUGACGGUACCCAAAGAAUAAGCACCGGCUAACUUCGCG
rnacentral:rRNA from 1 species